CUACGGGAUGCUGCAGUGGGGAAUAUUGGACAAUGGGGGAAACCCUGAUCCAGCAAUGCCGCGUGUGUGAAGAAGGCCUGCGGGUUGUAAAGCACUUUCGGUUGGGAGGACUGCUUCUAGCACUAAUAUUGUUGGAAGUUGACGUUACCUUCAGAAGAAGCACCGGCUAACUCCGUGCCAGCAGCCGCGGUAAUACGGAGGGGCAAGCGUUAAUCGGAAUUACUGGGCGUAAAGCGCGCGUAGGCGGCUAGAUCAGUUGGUGUGAAAGCCCCGGGCUUAACCUGGGAACUGCAUCCGAUACUGUCUAGCUUGAGUACAGGAGAGGAGAGUGGAAUUCCACAUGUAGCGGUGAAAUGCGUAGAUAUGUGGAGGAACACCAAUGGCGAAGGCAGCUCUCUGGCCUGAUACUGACGCUGAGGUGCGAAAGCGUGGGGAGCAAACAGGAUUAGAUACCCUCGUAGUC
rnacentral:rRNA from 1 species